GUCUCUCAUGUGACACCGAGAUGAUUCAGUUGUUUAUACUUAAUUGAAUUUGACCUCUUAGUCCACUCUUCCGUUAAUUUUAAUACAUACAUACAUACAUAUAUAGUCAUGCAUGCAUGUCUGCAAAUGUUUUAAGAAAGUUUUCUAUUAUUAUAACUUUUACAAAUCAUAGUUGUAUACACCAAUAUAUAAAGCGUAUAAAUGUUUACAAAGGAUGAAGCUAAUAAAUGAAGUUGUUGACAUGACAUAAGUUACAUAGUUUAUAGAUUCAAGUCACUACUUGAUGUAGAUUAUAUUCAAAUUAGGUUUAGUAUAGUUAUUUUAUUUCUUGGUUUUAUUUUUUGAGUUAAUUUGCCAUUCUAAGUGAGUCUUAGAAGUCUUAUGUUCAGGUCUUCUUAGAGAAGGUUGGGAAUUUCAAUUUUCUAGGAUUUUUAUACUUAAUUUUAGGCUUAAUGUUAUAGGUAGUUUCUGAAUUCUUAUCUCGAACUGGCAUCUUUCUUUAUGAAUUGAAGAGAUUCUGGUGGCUUUUAUGUGGGGUACCCUAGAGAUGCCUCUUGCUAUUUUCAGAAUUUGCAGAAGUAUUUUUUCUUUCUUUUCUUAUUACUUUCACAAGGAAGAAGUAUGGAAGUGCUUUGGUCAAUUAUAGAGUUGCUUUUACAAAGUCUCCUCAAGGAAUUUAUCUACAAAAUGAGGAGAAUGGUCUAAAUGUUCACCCGGGGUUGAGCAUUUCACAUAUGCUUCUUUCUUCCCACCUAUUUUUUUAUUAUAUCUUUAGUCCUUCUAUUCUCUAUUUCACAUAGCCUUCGACCAACCAAAUCAAUGUCCGUCAUGUGGCCAACUCCAGGGCGUGUGGAGAGUCCUUUCAAUUUCAAACUCUCCCCUUUGCUGGCAACACCUUGGCCGCAAUCACGAACAAUUUUCAUAACCGCAUGAUGAACGAGUGUGAUACGCAGGCAUGUAUGACCUUCAAGACAUGCAAUCGAUUACCAAAAAUGUCCAAUCCCCACGUCCGAAUUCCUUGCUGACGGAUGCCGACCUUUGCCUACAUAAACCACUCUCGGGGACCCUCCAAAUACUGACUUGAUGGUCGGUAGCUACCUUAUGUACUCCCCAGAAGACGGUAAGCUCUUUAUAGAGUGACUCGGGGGUAGCAAUGAAAGGGGUGAUCAGUUUCUGACUCGAGCAGCUGUACACAAAUUCGUGGAUAUGGAUUCGUGGAUAUGGAUGGAAACGGAACGCUUUUUGGGACUUUGGGCAGCUGUACACAAAUUCACUGAGCACGGACGAGGAGAGCAAUCAGCACUGCGAUUAGCUCGGCUUCGGAUGGAGAAGGGUCAUAACUACGUGCGAAAGACAGCUGAGCUUGCCGCCCAAAGUUGCUGGGCUAAUUCUGGCUGGUUCUGGUGAUUUAAAAACAGAAUUAAGCCAGUGGGACAUGUUUGAUCCCCGUCUUCAGGCCAAAAUACUUAACGUAGUAGAUGUUUCUUGUGGAUGAGAGAAUGACUUCAAUCACUUUCUGCUUCAGCACUUUCCUGGUUUCAUGUCGCUAUUGCGGACAGAUAUUGCUUUGAACCCUUGAAUGUGGGUUAGAGGAAUGCGUUGACGAAAAUGCAAGCAAUAUUAAAUGUGGAAUUUUAGCUUGUACAAACCAUUGAAAAGACGAUAAAACAUUUUUGAAACUGAAUAUUUGAGGGCCACAGUUUAUUAGCAGGUGCAUUUGAUGGAUGACUGUGAUUGCAAUAUAUUUGUUGAAUGCAUUCUUUCCUUUAGCUCUUAUACUUUUGCCAGGUCAUCGAGUUGAGUUCAUAGAGUGAAUGUACAGAAAAAGGAUCAUAUUUGAGGAAAUGGCAUUAACAAGCUCCACAGCAGCAUUCAAGAAAACUGAAGGCCUUACAGCGGCUGGAGUUCAAUUUGCAUUUUUUUUUUCUUCUAAUUAAUCUCUUUCCCCACCCUCCCCUCUCUCUUUUUUGGGUAUCGAUAAAAUUAUGUGACCGAGAAUUAAGAGAGCAGCAACAAAGCUUGAUGAGAUUUUUUUAAGUAAAAUAAUUUGGAAACAUGCCAUAACUAUGUCGCAUGGUCAUGGUUAGAAUUCACUAACAAGUUCUACCGUGAGCUCCAGUCUGUCUUCGAACAUGAUACUCAACUGUUGAGUUCUUGAGCUUCUUCACCACGUCGGAGGCGGAUGAAUCCCAAGUAUUUGGACAUUGGUAUUUUACAUCUGAACAUCGGGGAAAAUAAAUAAAUAAACAUAGAACUCGUCUUGGUCACAUUCAUGCUGCCUUAGCAAUUAUUGAAAAAUUUAUGCGUUGUCUUAAUUUGAAUCAGGUCUGGUUUGACUCUCGUAAUCUAUAUCUCAUCCAUUGCCUAGGUUCUUAAUGAUCUGACCGUGCCCUUUUUGGUUUUUAUGAUGCCUGCCAAACAGUAUCUUUGACCUGCGGGGUCCACCAUCAUUUGUCUUUUCUUUCUAAACAGCCAAGCACUACUAUCUUCUCGGCACAAGAAUACUUUGAGAUUUUACCAAGCAAACAUAGCCUUGAAAAUGAUACUUAAAUAAAUCUACAUAUUUACAUAUUCAUGCACUCAUCUCACCCACAUUUGGGUGCAUAUCCAGUUCUCUUCUCCGCACCUAAAUACAUGACUGACUUUGCAAGGAUAUGAACCAAAACAACAUCGAAACUACCCUGAAAAAAAAAUCUUAAAAAA